rnacentral:rRNA from 1 species
AAGGGGCAGANGGAAUUAGUGGUGUAGGGGUAAAAUCCGUAGAUAUCACUAGGNAUAUCAAAAGCGAAGGCGAUCUGCUGGGAUGAUACUGACGCUGAGGCACGAAAGCGUGGGGAGCAAACAGGAUUAGAUACCCUGGUAGUCCACGCCCUAAACGAUGAAUGCUAGUCGUCGGGGAGCUCGUCUCUUCGGUGAUGCACUUAACAGAUUAAGCAUUCCGCCUGGGGAGUACGGUCGCAAGAUUAAAACUCAAAGGAAUAGACGGGGACCCGCACAAGUGGUGGAGCAUGUGGUUUAAUUCGAAGAUACACGAAGAACCUUACCUGGCCUUGACAUGGUAGGAACCCUUAAGAGAUUAGGGGGUGCUAGCUUGCUAGAACCUACACACAGGUGCUGCACGGCUGUCGUCAGCUCGUGUCGUGAGAUGUUGGGUUAAGUCCCGCAACGAGCGCAACCCUCGUCGUUAGUUGCUAACAGUUCGGCUGAGCACUCUAACGAGACUGCCUUCGUAAGGAGGAGGAAGGUGAGGACGACGUCAAGUCAUCAUGGCCCUUACGGCCAGGGCUACACACGUGCUACAAUGGGGCGUACAGAGGGCUGCAAUACCGCGAGGUGGAGCCAAUCCCUUAAAGCGUCUCUCAGUUCGGAUUGUUCUCUGCAACUCGAGAACAUGAAGCUGGAAUCACUAGUAAUCGUAGAUCAGCUAUGCUACGGUGAAUACGUUCCCGGGUCUUGUACUCACCGCCCGUCACACCAUGGGAGUUGAUUUCACCCGAAAUCGGGAUGCCAAACUGGCUACCGCUUACGGUGGAAUUAGCGACUGGGGUGAAGUCGUAACAAGGUAACC